AUACGUAGGGAGCGAGCGUUGUCCGGAAUUACUGGGCGUAAAGGGCGCGUAGGCGGCGCUUCAAGUCGUCUGUCAAAUGGGAGGGCUUAACCCUUUUUCGCAGACGAAACUGGAGAGCUUGAGAAGCAGAGAGGCAAACAGAAUUCCUGGUGUAGCGGUGAAAUGCGUAGAUAUCAGGAAGAAUACCAGUGGCGAAGGCGGUUUGCUGGCUGCAUACUGACGCUGAAGCGCGAAAGCCAGGGGAGCGAACGGGAUUAGAUACCCCGGUAGUCCUGGCAGUAAACGAUGUAUGCUGGGUGUGAGACUAGCGAUAGUUUCGUGCCGAAGUUAACGCGAUAAGCAUACCGCCUGGGGAGUACGGUCGCAAGAUUGAAACUCAAAGGAAUUGACGG
rnacentral:rRNA from 1 species